GUAGGUGGCAAGCGUUGUCCGGAAUUAUUGGGCGUAAAGCGCGCGCAGGCGGUUCUUUAAGUCUGAUGUGAAAGCCCACGGCUCAACCGUGGAGGGUCAUUGGAAACUGGAGAACUUGAGUACAGAAGAGGAAAGCGGAAUUCCACGUGUAGGGGUGAAAUGCGUAGAGAUGUGGAGGAACACCAGUGGCGAAGGCGGCUUUCUGGUCUGUAACUGACGCUGAGGCGCGAAAGCGUGGGGAGCAAACAGGGAUUAGAUACCCUGGUAGUCCACGCCGUAAACGAUGAGUGCUAAGUGUUAGGGGGUUUCCCGCCCCUUAGUGCUGCAGCUAACGCAUUAAGCACUCCGCCUGGGGAGUACGGCCGCAAGGCUG
rnacentral:rRNA from 1 species